GGCCUGAUAGCUCAACUGGUGGAGCACUGCACCGGCAUUGCAGAUAUCAGGGUUUGAGUCUCGUUCAGGCCU
rnacentral:tRNA from 1 species